rnacentral:rRNA from 1 species
CCUACGGGUGACAGCAGUAGGGAAUAUUGCUCAAUGGGGGAAACCCUGAAGCAGCAACGCCGCGUGGAGGAUGAAGGUUUUCGGAUGGUAAACUCCUUUUGUUAGAGAAGAUAAUGACGGUAUCUAACGAAUCAGCACCGUCUAACUCCGUGCCAGCCGCCGCGGUAAUACGGAGGGUGCAAGCGUUACUCGGAAUCACUGGGCGUAACGAGCGCGUAGGCGGGAUAGCAAGUCAGAUGUGAAAUCCUAUGGCGUAACCAUAGAACUGCAUUUGAAACUGUUAGUCUAGAGUAUGGGAGAGGUAGGUGGAAUUCUUGGUGUAGGGGUAAAAUCCGUAGAGAUCAAGAGGAAUACUCAUUGCGAAGGCGACCUGCUAGAACAUAACUGACGCUGAUGCGCGAAAGCGUGGGGAGCAAACAGGAUUAGAUACCCCUGUAGUC